rnacentral:rRNA from 1 species
UACGUAGGCAGCAAGCGUUGUUCGGAAUUACUGGGCGUAAAGAGUGCGUAGGCGGCUCGGAAAGUCGGGUGUGAAAACUCGGGGCUCAACCCCGGGCGUGCAUCCGAUACUGCCGGGCUUGAGGCAGGUAGGGGAGAUCGGAAUUCCUGGUGUAGCGGUGAAAUGCGCAGAUAUCAGGAGGAACACCGGUGGCGAAGGCGGAUCUCUGGGCCUGUCCUGACGCUGAGGCGCGAAAGCUAGGGGAGCGAACAGG